UACAGAGGGUGCGAGCGUUGCUCGGAAUCAUUGGGCGUAAAGGGCAGGUAGGUGGUCUCGUUUGUCUGGGGUGAAAGCCCAGGGCUUAACCCUGGAAGUGCCCCGGAAACGGCGAGACUGGAGUCUUGGAGAGGGUCGUGGAAUUCCCGGUGUAGCGGUGAAAUGCGUAGAGAUCGGGAGGAACACCAGCGGCGAAGGCGGCGACCUGGACAAGUACUGACACUCAACUGCGAAAGCGUGGGGAGCAAACAGG
rnacentral:rRNA from 1 species